rnacentral:rRNA from 1 species
UGAGCAAUCUGCCCUUCACAUCGGAAUAAGCGUUGGAAACGACGUCUAAUGCCGAAUACGACCUCCUUUCGCAUGAUCGGAGGUGGAAAGCUCCGGCGGAGAAGGAUGAGCUCGCGGCCUAUCAGCUAGUUGGUGUGGGUAAUGGCCCACCAAGGCGACGACGGGUAGCCGGCCUGAGAGGGUGACCGGCCACACUGGGACUGAGACACGGCCAGACUCCGUACGGGAGCAG